GGCAGUGGUAGCUCGGUGGUUAAAACGUUGGACUAGUGAUUAGAAGGUUGUGAGUUCAAAAUCCCGGCACUGCCA